CCUACGUGAGGCAGCAGUGGGGAAUAUUGGGCAAUGGGCGCAAGCCUGACCCAGCAACGCCGCGUGAAGGAAGAAGGCUUUCGGGUUGUAAACUUCUUUUCUCAGGGACGAAGCAAGUGACGGUACCUGAGGAAUAAGCCACGGCUAACUACGUGCCAGCCGCCGCGGUAAUACGUAGGUGGCAAGCGUUAUCCGGAUUUACUGGGUGUAAAGGGCGUGUAGGCGGGAAAUCAAGUCAGAUGUGAAAACCAUGGGCUCAACCUGUGGCCUGCAUUUGAUACUGUUUUUCUUGAGUACUGGAGAGGGAGACGGAAUUCCGAGUGUAGCGGUGAAAUGCGUAGAUAUUAGGAGGAACACCAGUGGCGAAGGCGGUCUGCUGGACAGAAACUGACGCUGAGGCGCGAAAGCGUGGGGAGCAAACAGGAUGAGAUACCCCUGUAGUC
rnacentral:rRNA from 1 species